GACGAACGCUGGCGGCGUGCUUAACACAUGCAAGUCGAACGGAAAGGCCUCUUUCGGGGGGUACUCGAGUGGCGAACGGGUGAGUAACACGUGAGUAACCUGCCCUUGACUUUGGGUUACCUUCAGGAAACUGGGGCUAAUACCGGAUAGUCGCUCCUGCUGCAUGGUGGGGGUUUGAGAGUUUCGGCGGUUGGGGGUGCCCUCGCGGCUUAUCCGCUUUUUGGUGGGGUAGUGGCUUACCAAGGCGUUGACGGGUAGCCGGACUGAGAGGGUGAACGGCCGCAUUGGGACUGAGAGGAGGCACAGACUCGUACGGGAGGCAGAUGGGGGGAAUAUUGCACAAUGGGUGGAAGCCGGAUGCAGAAAGGCCGUGGGCGGGAUGACGGCCUUCGGGUUGUAAAACGGUUGCGCUCAUGACGAAGCUUUGUGUGACGGUAGUGGGUAAAGAAGCACCGGCUAACUACGUG
rnacentral:rRNA from 1 species